rnacentral:tRNA from 1 species
ACUUGGGUAGUUUAAUUUAAAGAUGUUGAUUUGUGGUGUCAACGAUGUAUAGUAUACCUCAGGUU